rnacentral:lncRNA from 1 species
AAACAAAAACUGUAGUUGAGACGAAGACAAACAUAAAGACGCAUUAGCUUUGAUUCCAUACUUAUGUGAUGCCUUAUAAAGGGAAGAGAAAGCAUUUAUCUUAUGUACCUAAAAAAUUAGAGAGCAUAUCAAUGCUAGAGUUCAACAAAUCGCAACCAGUAACCUUUGGAUGUAGAAGAUGAAGCAAUUCUCCUAUUCUUGUCGACAAUGCGCAUGUUAGGGUUCUUAAGGGUUAAAAUUUGAAGUGACUUCCAAACUGUCACUCAACCAUUAU